rnacentral:misc_RNA from 1 species
UCAAACUUGGUCAUUUAGAGGAAGUAAAAGUCGUAACAAGGUUUCCGUAGGUGAACCUGCGGAAGGAUCAUUACUGAAUAAACCAUGGCGAGCUGUCUUGCUGGCCUCCCCUCCAAGGAGGCAUGUGCACGUUCGCCAAAUGGGUUUCAUUCACCCCUUUCCACCUGUGCACACACUGUAGGUCGGAAAAUCCCCUCCCCCUGCCUUGUCCCAGGCUCCGAGCAUGUUCUCGAGCCCGGGUGGGUUUGAUUGAGGGCCUUUUUCAUUCGUUUGUCAAAGGCUUCAGAUGAACAGGGGUUUUCGGGGGGGGCCCUUUUCCGGUCCUACGUCUCACAUCCUACUACCCCACUACGAAUGUGAUAUGAAGGUGUAACGAUCUAGGCUUCCAAGCCUAAUAAACACAAUACAACUUUCAACAACGGAUCUCUUGGCUCUCGCAUCGAUGAAGAACGCAGC